GAGAAAACGGGGAUGUUGGAAUGGCUCAAUCAAAUCAAAUCUCCCAAGCUUUUUAUGGGUGUUUUAAUUUGAUUGAGCCGUGCCAAUAUCACGUUAAUUACU
rfam:Theobroma cacao cultivar Matina 1-6 chromosome 3, whole genome shotgun sequence.